UAGGGAAUUUUCGUCAAUGGGCGCAAGCCUGAACGAGCAAUGCCGCGUGAGUGAGGAAGGUCUUCGGACUGUAAAGCUCUGUUGCCGGGGAAAAAGGGGAAAUGCAGGAAAUGGCAUUUCAUGGAUGGUACCCGGCCAGAAAGCCACGGCUAACUACGUGCCAGCAGCCGCGGUAAUACGUAGGUGGCGAGCGUUAUCCGGAAUGAUUGGGCGUAAAGGGUGCGCAGGCGGUCUGUUAAGUCUGAAGGCAAAGGGAUGAGCUCAACUCAUUUAUGAUUCAGAAACUGGCAGACUUGAGGACAGGAGAGGGCGGUGGAACUCCAUGUGUAGCGGUAAAAUGCGCAGAGAUAUGGAAGAACACCAGUGGCGAAGGCGGCCGCCUGGCCUGUGACUGACGCUGAGGCACGAAAGCGUGGGGAGCAAAUAGGAUUAGAUACC
rnacentral:rRNA from 1 species